CGCACAGUAAACGAUGAAUACUAGCUGUUGGCGAUAUACAGUCAGUGGCACAGCGAAAGCGUUAAGUAUUCCACCUGGGGAGUACGCCGGCAACGGUGAAACUCAAAGGAAUUGACGGGGGCCCGCACAAGCGGAGGAACAUGUGGUUUAAUUCGAUGAUACGCGAGGAACCUUACCCGGGCUUGAAUUGCAUUUGAAUAUGCCGGAAACGGUAUAGCCAGCAAUGGCAAAUGUGAAGGUGC
rnacentral:rRNA from 1 species